rnacentral:rRNA from 1 species
GAUGAACGCUAGCGGCAGGCCUAAUACAUGCAAGCUGAACGGUAAAUAUUGUAGCAAUACGAUAUGAGAGUAGCGUAAGGGUGCGUAACACGUAUGCAAUCUGCCCCGUACAGGAGGAUAGCUCGGCGAAAGCCGGAUUAAUACUCCGUAAUAUUAUUGGAAGGCAUCUUUUGAUAAUUAAAGUCGCAAGACGGUACGGGAUGAGCAUGCGUCUGAUUAGCUAGUUGGUAGUGUAACGGACUACCAAGGCGAUGAUCAGUAGGGGAACUGAGAGGUUGAUCCCCCACACUGACAAUGAGAUACGGGCCAGACUCCUACGGGAGGCAGCAGUAGGGAAUAUUGGUCAAUGGAUGCAAGUCUGAACCAGCCAUGCCGCGUGCAGGAAGAAGGCCUUCUGGGUUGUAAACUGCUUUUGCCGGGGGAUAAAAUUCCCAUGCGUGGGAAAUUGAAGGUACCCGGUGAAUAAGCCACGGCUAACUACGUGCCAGCAGCCGCCGUAAGAC